UACAGAGGUGGCAAGCGUUGUUCGGAAUUACUGGGCGUAAAGGGCGCGUAGGUGGCCUUUUGAGUCAGACGUGAAAUCCCCCGGCUUAACCUGGGAACUGCGUCUGAUACUGGAAGGCUUGAAUUCGGGAGAGGGAUGCAGAAUUCCAGGUGUAGCGGUGAAAUGCGUAGAGAUGUGGAGGAACACCGAUGGCGAAGGCAGCCCCCUGGGCUAAGAUUGACGCUCAUGCACGAAAGCGUGGGGAGCAAACAGG
rnacentral:rRNA from 1 species